rnacentral:rRNA from 1 species
AGGGGACUCUCUGGUGUUUAACUGACGUGAGGAGCGAAAGCGUGGGGAGCGAACAGGAUUUGAUACCCUGGUAGUUCCCGCCGUAAACGAUGAUUGCUAAGUGUUAGGGGGUUUCCGCCCCUUAGUGGUGCAGCUAACGCAUUAAGCACUCCGCCUGGGGAGUACGGUCGCAAGACUGAAACUCAAAGGAAUUGACGGGGGCCCGCACAAGCGGUGGAGCAUGUGGUUUAAUUGGAAGCAACGCGAAGAACCUUACCAGGUCUUGACAUCCUUAGACAAUCCUAGAGAUAGGACGUCCCCUUCGGGGGCAGAGUGACAGGUGGGCAUGCGAGAGCGAGCGAGGGUACUAAUUUAUAAG